rnacentral:lncRNA from 1 species
AAAAUUAGUGUGGGGACAAGAUGUCUAGGGAAAUUAGUGUGCGGUUCAGGUAGUGUGGGGAGAAUUCAUUAUGGGGCAGGCAGUGUGGUGAGAAGGAUUCAUUGUUUAGAGGAAAUUAGUCUUAGGGACAGGAUGUCUGAGAGAAUAAGGGUUGGAUAGGUUGUCUGGGGAGAAUUAGUGAGGUGGAAAUGUUGUCUAGGAAGACUUAGUGGGGGUCACAUUGUCUGGGGUAAUUAGUGUGGGGGGCUGGAUGCAUGGGGAAAUAAGUCUGUGUGGCUGGUAGUCUUGGGAGAACUAGUAAAGGGGGCAGGAUGUAUGGAAGCAUAAGUCUGUGGGGGGCAGGUUGUCGUGGGAGAACCAGUGUUGGGACGGGGGGUAGGUUGACUUGGUAGAAUCAUUGCAAGGGGCAGGUAGUUUGGCAGGAAUAAGUUUGGGAGAUGGGUUUUCUGGGGAGAAUCAGUGUGGGGGGUAGGAUUUCUGGGAAGGAGAGAAGUUCCGGGGCUGCAGGUGUGUGGUGUUUAGGAUUUGGGGUUGGAGUGUGGUGGCUGGGGCUCUUCUCUGCAGGAAUCUGGCCAGGACAGCUGGAGGCCACAAGGAGGGGAAGACCUACAGGGCUUCGAGUGGGGUGGGGGAAGUGACGCCAUCACAAGGGGUGUGUGGAUAUGGAGUCACCCAUUCCUGCUGGAGAAGAAAGGGGAGAAGGUGGCUGUGUUCCUGCUGGACACCGAGGGAUUCAUGGCCCCGGACCAAAGCAAGGAGAACACUGUCAAGCUGUUGGCUCUCACCACGCUACUUAGCUCUCACCAGGUGGGACCCUAGAGACAGACAAUCGGUUGGUCCUUUUCCCGGCCCCUCCCUGCCACCCGCCUCCCUCCCUUCUGGGCUCCAGAAAAAGAAUGAAACCAGGCUGGAGGUAUGAAGGCAGGGGUGGACAAUGAGCCUUCAAAUCAUGGGAAGGUCAGCCUGAUAGGAAAGACCAUUCAGCGGGCUUGCAGGGGGAGUUUGGAGGUUGUGGAAUCACCUUCCCUGAAGUGGGGAAAGGGACGGUUAAAAGAAAGGGCCCCCUCCCCGGACCUGACUGUGCUACUGAAUUAGGUAAAUCCUUCCUGGCGGCAGGGGACUGGCACAACUAGACAGGGUCAUCUGUGGUGGGCUCCAUCAAUCAAUCCAUCAAUCAGUCAUAUUUAUUGAGAGUUUACUUUGGUCAGAGCAUUGUACUAAGUGCUUGGGGGAGUGUAAUACAGCAGAGUUGGUAGACAGUUUCCCUGCCCAACAAUAAGCUUAUAGUCUGGAGGGAGAGACAGGACGUUAAUCUAAAGAAAUAAAUUACCGUUAUGAACAUAAGUGCCUUGGGGCUGAGGGAGGGUUGAAUAAAGGGUGCAAAUCCAAGCGCAAGGAUGAUGAUAUACAAAGAAGUGGGAGGCUCCGGACCUGGAAUCUCUGAAGAGUUCUGCUUUCCUCAACAUUUCCCGUCGUCAAAACCUCCCUAAAAUCCCACCU